rnacentral:rRNA from 1 species
GACGAACGCUGGCGGCGCGCUUAACACAUGCAAGUCGAGCGAGAACCCAGGCUUCGGCCUGGGGGAAAGCGGCGAACGGGUGAGUAUCACGUGGGUAAUCUGCCCUCGACAUCGGGAUAGCCCGGGGAAACCCGGAUUAAUACCGAAUGGCCCAUCCGCUCUUCGGAGCGGCUGGGAAAGGUAGCUUCGGCCUCCAGUCGAGGAGGAGCCCGCGGCGGAUUAGCUUGUUAGUGAGGUAAUGGCUCACCAAGGCGACGAUCCGUAGCUGGUCUGAGAGGACGAUCAGCCACACUGGGACUGAGACACGGCCCAGACUCCUACGGGAGGCAGCAGUGGGGAAUCUUGCGCAAUGGGCGAAAGCCUGACGCAGCGACGCCGCGUGCGGGAAGAAGGCCUUCGGGUUGUAAACCGCUUUCAGGAGGGACGAAGCCACUCGGGUUAAUAGCCCAGAGGGUGACGGUACCUCCAGAAGAAGCCCCGGCUAACUACGUGCCAGCCGCCGCUGUAAAAC